rnacentral:rRNA from 1 species
CUACGGGGGGCUCCAGUAGGGAAUAUUGGUCAAUGGACGAAAGUCUGAACCAGCCAUGCCGCGUGCAGGAUGACGGAUCUAUGAUUUGUAAACUGCUUUUAUUCGGGAAGAAAAGCAAUGAUUCUUCUUUGUCUGACGGUACCGAAUGAAUAAGCACCGGCUAACUCCGUGCCAGGCAGCCGCGGUAAUACGGAGGGUGCAAGCGUUAUCCGGAUUUACUGGGUUUAAAGGGUGCGUAGGUGGUUUAAUAAGUUAGUGGUGAAAUCCUACAGCUUAACUGUAGAACUGCCAUUAAAACUGUUAAACUUGAGUAUAGUUAAGGCGGGUGGAAUGUAACAUGUAGCGGUGAAAUGCUUAGAUAUGUUACAGAACACCAAUUGUGAAGACAGCUCGCUAGACUAUUACUGACACUGAGGCACGAAAGCGUGGGUAGCGAACAGGAUUAGAUACCCUCGUAGUC